AGGGUUUGAUCAUGGCUCAGGAUGAACGCUAGCGGCAGGCCUUACACAUGCAAGUCGAGGGGUAACAGGAGAAAGCUUGCUUUCUCGCUGACGACCGGCGCACGGGUGCGUAACACGUAUGCAACCUACCUCUUACUGGGGGAUAGCCCAGAGAAAUUUGGAUUAACACCCCAUAGUAUCACCAGUUCGCAUGUUCAGGUGAUUAAAGGUUACGGUAAGAGAUGGGCAUGCGCCCCAUUAGCUAGUUGGUGAGGUAACGGCUCACCAAGGCUACGAUGGGUAGGGGGUCUGAGAGGACUAUCCCCCACACUGGUACUGAGACACGGGCCAGACUCCUACGGGAGGCAGCAGUGAGGAAUAUUGCGCAAUGGACGAAAGUCUGACGCAGCCAUGCCGCGUGCAGGAUGACGGCGCUAUGCGUUGUAAACUGCUUUUAUAUGCCAAGAAACCUUCGGACGUGUCCGAAGCUGACGGUAGCAUAUGAAUAAGCACCGGCUAACUCCGUGCCAGCCGCCGCGGUAAUAC
rnacentral:rRNA from 1 species